rnacentral:rRNA from 1 species
AACGAACGCUGGCGGCAUGCCUAACACAUGCAAGUCGAACGAGACCUUCGGGUCUAGUGGCGUACGGGGGCGUAACGCGUGGGAACCUGCCCUUAGGUUCGGAAUAACUCCCCGAAAGGGAUGCUAAUACCGGAUAAUGGCUUCGGACCAAAGAUUUAUCGCCUUUGGAGGGGCCCGCGUUGGAUUAGCUGGUUGGUAGGGUAAAAGCCUCCCAAGGGGACGAUCCAUAGCUGGGCUGAGAGGAUGAUCAGCCACACAGGGACUGAGACACGGCCCAGACUCCUACGGGAGGGAGCAGUGGGGAAUAUUGGACCAUGGGCGAAAGCCUGAUCCAGCACUGCCGGGUGAGUGAUGCAGGCCUUAGGGUUGUAAAGCUCUUUUACCCGGGAUCAUAAUGACAGUACCGGGAGAAAAAGCUCCGGCUAACUCCGUG